UACGUAGGGUGCGAGCGUUAAUCGGAAUUACUGGGCGUAAAGCGUGCGCAGGCGGUUCGUGAUGUCUGAUGUGAAAGCCCCGGGCUCAACCUGGGAACUGCAUUGGAAACUAGCGGGCUGGAGUGUGGCAGAGGGGGGUGGAAUUCCACGUGUAGCAGUGAAAUGCGUAGAUAUCAGGAAGAACACCCGUGGCGAAGGCGGUUCUCUGGGACGGUACUGACGCUGAGACGCGAAAGCGUGGGGAGCGAACAGG
rnacentral:rRNA from 1 species